GACGAACGCUGGCGGCGUGCCUAAUACAUGCAAGUUGAGCGCUGAAGGUUGGUACUUGUACCGACUGGAUGAGCAGCGAACGGGUGAGUAACGCGUGGGGAAUCUGCCUUUGAGCGGGGGACAACAUUUGGAAACGAAUGCUAAUACCGCAUAAAAACUUUAAAAACAAGUUUUAAGUUUGAAAGAUGAAAUUGAAUCACUCAAAGAUGAUCCCGCGUUGUAUUAGCUAGUUGGUGAGGUAAAGGCUCACCAAGGCGAUGAUACAUAGCCGACCUGAGAGGGUGAUCGGCCACAUUGGGACUGAGACACGGCCCAAACUCCUACGGGAGGCAGCAGUAGGGAAUCUUCGGCAAUGGACGAAAGUCUGACCGAGCAACGCCGCGUGAGUGAAGAAGGUUUUCGGAUCGUAAAACUCUGUUGGUAGAGAAGAACGUUGGUGAGAGUGGAAAGCUCAUCAAGUGACGGUAACUACCCAGAAAGGGACGGCUAACUACGUG
rnacentral:rRNA from 1 species